AAAUAUUUUAUUAUUUACAGUUCAGCUGUUAAAGCCGAGUCCCCAUUGGAUUUAAAUUUCGACGAACAAAUGUGUUUAACUGCAAUCGUGGGUGAUAAAACGUUUACGGCUACUACUAUCAAAGAAGAUACAAGCUCUGAGAACUACAGCAAUCGUGAAUUGCACCUUCCUCAGGUAAAAAAUCCAACUUUCAAAGAAUGAUUGCUUUGCCAACAAGAAAUGACGACGUAUAACUGACUCCGGAGAUUCCAGAAUCGUAAAUAAAAAGCUUUCGCAUUAGAAUCAUUUCCUUAUAUUGUUAGUAUUUCAACCAUAAACUUAGUAAAUAAUCCAUAACUUGAACACAAUGAAUAACCCUUGCUAUAGGGCUAGGCUUCGGCCUACCCAUGGGUUACCCGUAUCUGUUUACUACCGGCACGUACUAGCGCGAAGGCGAAAAAAAGCUAAAAAUAAAAGAAAAUAAAAGAUUUUACGUGGAUUGUGCCAGAACCUUCCGGUAUUAAGCUGGUCACUGGUAACACAUAGGUUAUCUGGGGCCGAGCCCUACCUUGCUAAUAGCUUUCCACUAAUGUAAACCUUGAAAUGGAAAUGAAAUGAUGAAAUGAACAUUCAGAAGUAAAAAACAUUGUGGAAAGUUUUACAGUGCUCUUCGUACUGUAGAGUGUACUCAUUGGACGUAAAAAAAAAUCCAUUUAAUUCCUUCCUUUUUUUUUGCAAUAGGCAUUGCAGUAAAACAUGAUGGGGGGUUACAGAAGGCAGUUAGUGGUCAGAGGUACUAGAGUAACCAACUUGUGCUUUUCAUUUUUUUUUAAACAUUGGAAAACAUGGAACGAUCUCAAUAGCGAUUAAUGUCAAAGCUGCAGGAUAGCUGCAAUUCUUAAUUCUAGGACAUUUGUCCCGGCCACCACAUUUUCCUGCUCUGUUGCUUUCAGCGUUGCAGUUAGAUACCAUCCAAAUGGCUAAUUUUGUCUUUCCCUUUGCUGGAUUGAUAACCACUGGAUUGGGCCGGACAUAUCAGCACUUACCGGUGACAAGUUAUGGAAACUGGAAGAUCAACAUAACGCAAUUUAGAUUAACUGAGGGACCAAAUCACCAGUACUGCAAAAAUUGACUGCUGCAAAAUAAGCGAAUAUUCUCAAAAGAGCCUGUAGGAUUUUAGCGUAGCAAAAACUUACGGCAUACGAAUACUACUAGGAGUUCAUGCACAAACGCAAUGUUCGUUAACACCUCUGGGUUUAUUUAUUUAUCUUUUGUCAGAAGAUGGUAGUCAAAUCGGCGCGCCAUAAGCUUGGGCGUUGGAGGAUGUUCAACCAAUACCUAAGGAGCCUUUACGUGGAUCUCUUCUUUCCGGGACUGGAUCGAUAAAACAUGUUGACAAAGCUCUCUACGGGGUUGAUAAGAUCGUGUUUUUGUCUUUGCCUCAAGCAACAUCGAACCUUCUUUAUUUUUUGGAACUAAACCUGUGAAACCUGUCGUGACUGCGUUGUGGCAAAAAUCGCCGGUCUUGAGUAUCAGAGGUCUCAAAUACAGAGAAUCGACUAAUGUAUUUCGUACUCCCCGAGAACCAUGUAGCCCUUUAACAAUUGCCCGAGGUCUUCGCGAGUCGAUUCUAUACCAUUGGGUGUCGCAAAAAAAAAAAAUCUUUCUUUUAUUCUGAUUGGCUGUUCCGGAGAACUUUCGAACGCCACCAACACCGAAAGAGACGGCUAUUUACAAGGCUGUCAAUCUGUCAGCAGCAUCGCUUUAAAGAUAAAAUGCUUUAUGUGGUAAAUAUUAAGUAUUUUUACAAUUCAUCGAUUUUAGUCCACGUUUGAGGUUAACUUUCGACAAAAAUGUGUACACAGUUACCGUCAUGGAUGAAAGCUCAAGUUUUUCGACGUUUUUGCGGUAUAGCACUAACUUUUCUAUUUUAUUUUUCAGUUGGCAUUGCUGUAAAAAAUUAUGGUGGGAAAAUUGCAGAGGGCAGUAAGUGAUCAGAGGUAGAGUAACCAACUUGUGCCUUCCAUUUUUUGAAACCUUAGAAACAUAUUGAACGAUCUCAAUAGUUCCUUAGCUUCAGAAUAGGACAGUGUUUCUAGCCGACUACGGAUUGCGUUUUGCUUCCCUUUUUCUUGCGUUUCUGAUUGUGUUCACUGGAACGUGGGCCACAUGCCAGAAACUCAACUUGUCGUGGUGACAAUAGACAAUCCUUCAGAAUACUGGUUAUUUUCAAGGCCAAAAAACUUGAUUGUGCCCUUCCCAUGUGUUGUGACAUUUCACGAGCUCCAUCAAGCAACAGAGUUAGAUGGCGAAAAACCUUUUGACAACUAGUUUCCUGAAUCUAAAUUUCCUGGUGUCAUUGACGCUUUAUUUGAACCUUAAGAAUUUACAAAUUUGAGAAUUUCAUAAGACAAUGGUGUCUGAUUGGAGUGCGCCGAUCGAAUAAAGACUUCGACAGCUAUUAAACAGGAUCUUGAGAUUCUCCAAUUUGCCAUAGGCAUUUUCACACAUCUACAUGGGAAAACACGUCGUUAAUUGCUGGUUGGGGUUGGACCUGUUACAAUACUUACAAGUGUUUGUGGUUUUCUUUUGUUUGUUUUAUUUCCUAUUAAAUUUUAAGUCAAUGUAAUGGAGCUUAAAAUUGCUGAGUAGUACACCCACCAGGAGGUAUCCCUAUCACUACAUGUGUGCAUGGUCCCGAGGUUGAGAUUUGUACAAGUAAUUUCUUCUUUAGCUCAUUUUGUGUAUUGAAUUAAAAGGCGUGACUGUUCAAUUCUCUUAAUUUGCAACUCAAUGAAUCACUGGUGGCUCCUGACAGUCCAUUCAGUUUUCUUCGAAGACUGGAUUAUUUACACAAUGAGCUUGUUUCAUGUACCAAGUCUGUAAACCCUUGACUGUGGACUUUUCUAAUGGCGUUGAGUGAAGAGCUUCACAGAGAUCACAGAAUACUUGUCUGUUUGUCUCAUAGAGGUUAUUGACACGAUAGUGUGGCUUCCACCAGAAAUACUCGGCGUACAAAGUGUCAUUACGAUCCAAUUCGUUCAAAUAUUCAGCCAGCUGAUGUGGUGUGUAGUCCAGGGCAUUGAUGUAGGAGUGUGGUGGAGCAAUGGCAGCAUAAUCAACUCCCCCAAGAACAACGGGCACUAUGUUUCUGCUCAUCAUUUCGAAGAACUUUUCCGUCACAUAUUCUGCACAUAUUGAGUUCUCAAAGGCCAAAUAAAACUUGUAGUUGGAUGCCAACCAAAUGGCUAAUUUUGUCUUUCCCUUUGCUGGAUUAAUGCCUGAUCGCAUCAUCUCUUGCCGCAUUGCCAUUGCCUCUUCCACCGUGCUCGGUGCACUCUCUAAUGGAGCUAUUUCGCCGUACUUGAGAAGGAAAGUAGAUCCUGUUCGGUAAGUGAUAGUCCAGUUGAAAUAGUUGUCAAACACCUCCAUGUUUUGGGGCAUAUGGACAGGUGGCUCGGUGGUAAACAUAACAAGCAUUUGAUCUGGUCUUCGAUUUUUAAAUAUGUGCGGAGUUUUCUGCGUCGGCGUAUGAAUCAGAAUAGCGUCGAAAUCUUCGUGAGGCAUUAGACUAGCAUUGUAAGUGAUAAGGCAGUUGCUGACUCGGCACCCCACGUUAACAAAUGCCGUACGUCCUAAUCCAAACCUGUAUCCCCAGAAAAGUGAUUUCCAUAGUAAAAUGUUUUUUGUGCCUUUGGCUACGGAUAUUCUUUUAUAUGUGUCAUUGCCAUAUUUUGAUCUGUUUGUUGUGCUGCAUAUUGGACGGAGAAGUCCAGGAUGUUUGACAUCAAUGAAGUAUGCAGCGUACAAAAAUAGACACAUCGAAAUUAAGAUGCCCAGGAGAAAAAUUUUUAAAAGUUUACGGUGUUUAGACAUAACUACCAAUUCACUAGAAACGAUUAAUGUGAGCCGUAAAAGUAUGAGUGCUUUUACACGGAAUACCUGAGAUUUGUCUGAGUUGUAAUUUUUCGUUUUUACACCAAAUCUCCCGUCCCUUAGUGUGACAGAGAUUGGACAGCAAGUGGAAGUGUAUAAAGGAAACUGUUGCUGCUGUGGUCAGAUAACAAUCGAUUUAUCAGUUGUUUGCAUAAUUUUCGUUCCGCAGAUAGUCACGACAUAAGCGUUUUUAAACUGAAAUUUUCCCUGUGAAAAGCUUUUAAAGGAUGGAAACAGGAUCGUGUGUUUUCCUGCUAUGAAUUUAGAGCCACCUAAAACAAACACAAAUCGAAAAACGAGAAAACUGUAACAGACCCGCUUCGUGGCGUUCCAAGGACUAAAGAUUCGUCUGUGUGUUGUACGUAAACGUGUGUUGUACGUAAAGAGUGAUGACUACAGUUCUAGCCAAUUGCUAGAUCUGUGUUAUCAUACCAUAGUUGCUGCAACUAGCUUUGCUUUUGGGGGCAAAGCUCUUAUCUUUAACUGCGUGAAUGGCAGAUCCAUUUCAAAACGAUGUAUAAACUUAACGUCAGAUGACCCUUAAAUAUUAUAUCGCUCUGACUGAGUGUCACAUUAAAAAAAGUUGACACUGAUGAAUCAAAGCUUUCAAUCUGAUAAUGGCUUCAGGGACGCAGGUAAUUUUACCUGUCCAAAAAACACAAUGAGGCUAGCUUUCGUGAUCUAGCAAAAAUGACCUAGGUCAAUGUUUUCUCUAGAGAAAGGUAAGUGAUCUCUUCAUCUGAUAAUUUUUUUUAACGCUGCCGACUUUCUAAAUUUCUAACCAAAAGUUCAACGAUGUUCUUCCUGACCAACGUUGGCAUUAUUUUAACUUUGACGUGUUGUCCUCUGAGGCAAUCGACUAUCGAAUCAACAAGACACGUGCAGCCCCAAAGCAGGCUCAGCCAUCUUUACCUUCUCUCCUAUAAAAUGCCAGUCUAGAAACUCUUAAAUUAACGUCUGAUUGUUAUUAGUGUCUGAAGAGCAGCCGAAUGAAGAUGGUCACCUCUGAAUUGUUCAAAUUGCCUUUCCUUCUCAUUUUUUGCUGUUACGUUCCCUCCUGCCCAGCCCAGCUGAGCAGUCAAAUUGUUGAGCAGCUGUUUAUUCUUAGUCCAAAAGAAUUGCAAUAUCGUUUCCCAUUAUUUCCAUCUAGAAUACCUUUCGGUUUGUCAACUUUCUCCACUUCAACUGCUGUUUUGAUCAGUUUUUCCCAACAUCAAUGCAUAGCAACAGCAACUGCAACCGGAGCUUGUCGCCGGUCGCAUCAAACGACUACAAUUUCGAACAACCCAAGUCUUGCAACGAGGUUCUCUGAGACACCGAUUCAAGUCAGGGCUACUCAAGUGCUAAGCGAGGAGAUCUUACAACUGCAAACCGCUGCACCUCCACCUAUUGCUCAAGAUGGCAAGAUCGAGGACAGCGAGGUGUCCAUAAGCACUACUGUGGAACCAAACGAUACCGCUCUAUUUGGCUGAAAGAAAUGCUGUGAGCCAGGAUUAUGCAUGCUGUACCGCCUGUACGAGCAAUAGAAUUUCAUCUUGUUGGGUUUCAUAAAAUUUCGAUCUUCACAAAUAUACUGACAUCGCCUUUCUUGAUGUAUUCAUUUCAUCACGGAAUCAGUUUUAAUAAACUAAUCAGGAACCCUGAAA